GACGAACGCUGGCGGCGUGCUUAACACAUGCAAGUCGAACGGUAAGGCCCUUCGGGGUACACGAGUGGCGAACGGGUGAGUAACACGUGGGUGAUCUGCCCUGCACUUCGGGAUAAGCCUGGGAAACUGGGUCUAAUACCGGAUAGGACCACUGCCUGCAUGGGUGGUGGUGGAAAGCUUUUGCGGCGUGGGAUGGGCCCGCGGCCUAUCAGCUUGUUGGUGGGGUGAUGGCCUACCCAGGCGACGACGGGUCGCCGGCCUGAGAGGGUGACCGGCCACACUGGGACUGAGAUACGGCCCAGACUCCUACGGGAGGCAGAAGUGGGGAAUAUUGCACAAUGGGCGCAAGCCUGAUGCAGCGACGCCGCGUGAGGGAUGACGGCCUUCGGGUUGUAAACCUCUUUCAGCACCGACGAAGCGCAAGUGACGGUAGGUGCAGAAGAAGGACCGGCCAACUACGUGCCAGCCGCCGCCGUAA
rnacentral:rRNA from 1 species